UUGUGUUCAGCAGAAUACCAGAAUUACUGAAAUAAUGGCUUCCUUUUGCCUUUUCAGAUUUCUUCUCUCUCCUCCCCCAAGUCUGGGCAAGAGGAAAGGGGAGUGGGUAUUGGAAGGUCUUCCCCUUUCUGCAAACUCAUGACCAACCUCUCCCUUUUCAUGAUAGACAGCAUCACACUUGGAAAGCCAGAUGAGUCAAAACUAGCUGGCUUAGAGGCAAGUGAGAAGCUGCCCAUCUCCUGGGUGGGAAUGGAAAACAAGGCUAAAAAGAAAGAGUCUACUCAUGUUUUUACCAUCUUCUCCAUCCUUGCUGAGCCAUAAUGAUGAGAAAAGCCAGAGCUGCUUCUGUCACCGUAGAAUCCCACCCCCCAAACUGUGCAACUGUGAGGGAUACAGGGGUCUGCUUGGGGUCUACAGCUGAUAUCUUAACACAUCUCAAAGAGAGAACCAGAGAUAAGCAGAAAGAUUUAUCAACCCCAGCCAUUUUCAGGAGGACCUGGACCCAUCUACCUGAUCCCAAGAUGGCAUACAUGUGGUUCCCAGGGAGUCUUCCAUCCAGGCACUGACCAGACCCAUACCUACUUAGCUUCAAGCAAGAUGGUUCCUCAGCAGCCCUUUGGUGACAAGAUGUGGGAAGGAAGGACUGCCUUAUGUGGAUCAACUACAAGCUGAACAUUAGGCAGUCUAAUGCUAUUCUGACUUUUCUCUUCCCCUCAGGGAAAGAAAGUUCCAUAGAGAUACAGAGUUAGCAAGGAGAUGGCUGAGAUACUGUCUUCAGGUUCUUAGUUGUGAGUUUUGCCUGGGAUAACAGCACUGAAAUAAAAGAAUCUGUAUCUCUACUGAGUAAACAAACUGAAUACCACCAUUGCUUGCGCAUCAUCAGAGGGGGGACUCUGUAAGGGUAGGAAAGAGCUUGUGGACCAGGUGCAAAGGAGAGUAGGACUAAGGUAAAACUUACAUUUUGGUGAGUGUGGCUUCUUGUCAUGAAAGGGUGAAAUCUGUCCUUGCAAGAAAAAAAAAUCCUGUUUUUGAUGUGAAAAAUACUGGAGCCACCUGCUCCUUUGCAGCUGGUCACCCCAGAAAGUGCUUCUGUCCAAAUUGAAUCCAGCUGUGAGAACUCCAGGGAAUUGCCUUAGCCUGGAAUGAGUCCUGAUUAAUCCUGCCUCUCGUCUGCCCAACAGGAAUGUUUAUAAGCUUGAGAAUGUCAGAAAUAACUGUGGUCCUGGCAAGGGUGACCUUUUUGCAAUGAGUCGUGAAUAGAGCUGUAAAAAGGUUCCUGAUUGAUAAUUUAUCUUGGCUAAAUAUCAGUUCAGCAGAUUGACUUGGGCCUGCUCCUGGAGGCUUUUCCUUCUGACACUGAGAGAGAGAGAGAGAGAGAGAGAGUAUAAUUCCUGUGCAGGAAUUAGCAGUCAGUGCGCACCUGUUACUACAAGAGACUCCAGCUGAAAAAAAAAGAGACACUUCAGUUUAGUGCAAUUAUCUCAAUUUUCCCAGGAUAAGGAUCCUUGAGAUAUUUAUCUGAUUUACAAGGGUGUUCUGUCGAGGUGGCAGGCAUGAGACCUUAAAGAGGCAUUCAUCAAUUUCAUGUGCACAGAGGGAAGAAAAAAAUGUAUGAGAGAGAUGUAUGGUGAAAAGAAGCAACAACUCUCUGAGCCUGUCUUCAAUUAUGAUGAAUUAAACAAUUUGCAGGAACUGGGACCAAGCAGAGGGAACACAGGGGUGGGGUAAACAUUUUCCCCUACUUGGAGACUUAACAGGGUAGACUUGGAAUUUAGAACAAGUUGCUAGAACAGAUGAUGGAACAGAGCCAUGUUUUAGAGACUUGAAUUACUUGCUUCUGUCAAAGCAAACAUUCUCUGUUUUUCUUUCUCCUCUUUCUCUCUGGCUGUGUAUAUACUCUUGCUUACUCAAAUGACACAGGUAGCCCUCACAGGUAAUAGGCAAAACAGUGUUGGUUAUGUGCAUAUGGAAGCAAUGUAAUAAAAAUCUGAACCAUGUAAUGUCUUUCAGAAUUAAUAUUUUUGGCCAGGAGGGGUAGUAGAGCAGACGAAGGUUAACUUCUCUGCAGGAAAAGGGCAGGGCCAAUCAAAAAUCAAAAUCUUUAUUUCCUGCUUGAAGAGGAUGAAGCUUCCAGUUUUUUUGACUCUGCCUUGUAGAAAAGAGUAGGAUAGCCCAGCUGCUCCUAAGCUACUGUGUGGGAGAAGCUUAUAUGCCUAUAUACAGAAAAAAAGAGAGGGGGAAACUGUUUUAGAGUACUUGGCAUUGCAAUGGUGCCCAACAGUCUAUGCUACUCCAAUCUGCAUAGCCUCUUGCCAAGGGUGGGUUGUCAACUGACCAAGGUAGCAAGGGGAUAUCUCUGAGCCCCUUUUGUGGAGGACUCUGCUCCCUAAGUAAGAGGGUAGAUAAAUGCCUGGGCUAGUGAGGAAACCUCUCCAAGCCACCCCCCCAUGCAGUAUCCUGCAUGCCUACAAAGGGGGAGAAGCAAUUGCCAAGGAGGGAGGAGGCUUCUCUGAGCCACCAAAAGCAGCACUCUGCUCUCUCUUCUGAUUGUCACUGGAGUGCUUCAGAGAGGAAAGAGACCACCUCUGCAUGCCUUCCUCCUACGGCUCCCCAUAUCUGCCUUGGCCAACAUGCAGAGAGAGGAAGGUCAACACACCACAGAAUAUCAUUCUUCUCUGUGCUCAGCAAAGGGAUUAGCAAGCCAUAUUCAACAAUAAUGUCCCUCAGUGAGGGGACAUGCAGAGCCUGCACAUGGAAUUUCCAGCAAUUCUAUCCAACGUUGCUGUAGUCGUCAUUGGAGGGACCUUGCCCAUUGCUAGUCAGCAACCACAGCAAGUGGUGACCUGUUGAUCUGCUGUGUAUGUGAAGAAAACCUUUCUUGCAAACAGAUGUAAUGAAUAUGAAGAUAAAUUCCUAAUAGACCUUGCCAUCUCCUUCCAGUAAUCCUGAAUCAUCUCACAUGUCCAUCACACAUGCAUGUCAUCAGUAUUCUUUUAAUAUUCUGAUAUU